CAAGAUUGCUGGGGCUGUGCAGGCUUGAAUGGUUCUCUGUGUCCUGCUCUGAGAUCUGCUGUCGGGUGCAUUGAGGGGACCUCAGGAAGCUCUGAGAUUUAGACAUGGUUCACACUGCUAUAGCAUCGCCCUGCACUGGGGUAUCAAGCCUCCACAGGACCAAGGGCUUCCCCUCCCACUGAUGCCAGAUGAAGCCAUCGUCUGCUACAUAUAGAGCUGGAGCCAUGGAUCUCUCCAUGCAUACUCUUUGG
rnacentral:lncRNA from 1 species